UACGGAGGGGGCUAGCGUUGUUCGGAAUUACUGGGCGUAAAGCGCACGUAGGCGGCUUUGUAAGUUAGAGGUGAAAGCCCGGGGCUCAACUCCGGAAUUGCCUUUAAGACUGCAUCGCUAGAAUUGUGGAGAGGUAAGUGGAAUUCCGAGUGUAGAGGUGAAAUUCGUAGAUAUUCGGAAGGAACACCAGUGGCGAAAGG
rnacentral:rRNA from 1 species